GGGAUGAUGGUCUUUAUGAAGUCCGUAGUGACCAAAGCAUAGAGCAGAAGUAGCAUCGUGGAACUCCUCUUCUGUGGCCACACAGAAAAAUCAUUUUGUCCCUUUCCUGGGUAAUAUUUGUUCUGACGAGCCUGAAAAUAAAACCCAAGCCAGCGAUGUGCAAGUAUGGAGAAAUGAAGGGACUUGCUCAAGGUCACCCUGCAGGCAACUGGCAAAGCUGGGAAUAGAUAAAUACUACGAGAAGUUGACUGAACACUGUGGAAAUGCUAGGGACCAAAGCAUAUGUUUUAAUUUGAGGGGAUUGUUGGAUAUUAUAAAAUAGACCUAGAUGAGUAAUUAAAUCUGUGCUCUAACCAACUGUAUGCCCUGUAACACUCACAAUAUACCAGGCUUGGGGGAAAAAUGGUGACACAGAAUAGAUCAUUAUCUGGCUGCUGUUGAGCAGGAGCUGACUGUUGGGUAGUUCCUGAGCAGAUGUGCUGACUGAAGACAGAAUUCCCCACUCUACGCUUUGUGCGCUCCAUUACUGCUCCCACAAAAGACUAAAGAGCCUGCUAGCAAGAACUGGCUAGAACAUAUGAAGAGAGAACUGCAGAACUAAGCACUUCUGACACUUGAAGAAUUCACCAAGAGACAUUCCCCUAACCCUGUGAUUACUUCUAUCUGUGCCUAUAAACAUACUGUAAAUCAUUAUGGUAUGGGAAGUUGUCUCCUUGCAUUGAACGUAGAUAACAGAUGACAUUUUAAACAAGAGAAAAAUGAAGUCCUCCUGCUCCUGACAUUUUCACCACUUCUUUUCUUUACUAAUUUUCAAUGUCAGAGACAGUUUGUGCCAGAGUGCUAAAGUGUUGCUUCCAUAGAUUUGCAAAGUGAAUUAAGCUAGUCAUCCAUCUCCUCUGAAGAGAGUAUUGAUAUGCUCCUAGCUGUGUGUGAGGGAUGAGAGAAAUAGCUUUUCAGGGGCAUGGUAUUGGUGAUUAUAUUUAAGCAGUAAUAGUUAGUCUGCUGUUUUUCAAAGAGAUUGUAUCCUCACAUAGAUUUUAGCUUUCUCUCUCUGACAAAGCUGUGACUAUCCAUUCAAAACUAAGAGAAGAACGGAGUAGCAUGUUGCCUUGUACCCAAGCUGCGUCCCUGCCCCUUUGCUUUAUCUCCCAAAUCUGUUUGGCUGGAUCAUCACCAGUUAGCUACAGAAAUUUGGAAAUAUGCUAAUGAAAGGCCUGCAGAGAACCAAAGCCCUUUCCAGUCACCAUAAAUAUAUUGUCCCCAGGAAAUUUGUCUCCAGCAUAUUUUUAUGUACUAGAUCCGUGAUGCUUCAUGAGUCACCCAUGAGAAAUCCAAAGCCACAGCAAAAAUCUCUCUGGACUAUGCUACCACUGUGUCAUCAAAAAAGAUGAGUGAAGUUUCUCAAAACUGGAAAUCCUACAAAGAAAAAGUAAAUAAAUAAAAUAAAAUUCACCCCGGAGCUUUGUGUGGUGGAGCCACACCACAGAGUAGUGAAGAAAGCUGCAGCUGAAAUGCUUCUCGAUGGCUUGAAGAAAUCGUCGCUGAACCGAGCUCCCAUUCAUUCGUUUUUCUUCAGGUCUGUCUGCAGCCCCCAGCACCGACGUCAAUAUGUCUUCCUGAGCAAGCUUGAAUCCAUCCUCCAGGAUUUGUCGCUACCACAAAAUUGGCAAUAUUUUGCCAAGGAUUUUAAAAGAAAGCAAUGCCACAAUUUUACCACAGUGCAAAUAUGAAACGAAUAAUAGAAAGAGACCACGGCAUCAAUAAACAUCCUCUGCCAGAAAAAGUCUUUCUUAAAAAAAGGGAAAAACUUGCAGGCAAUUACAUUGGUUAAAUUACAACCUUGUUAAGUAACCGCACUGACUACAAUGAAUCAGGGAGCAGUGCAGGGUUUUUGUUAGUAGGUUGUAGCCCCUAGCGACGACCGACUGAUUAAUACCGAAACUGCCUCCUGCGCAGGGACUCUGUGCGGGGAGCUGGACUGGCGGGCUGCUCGCACAGGGCUCCUGGAAAGGCCGAGCUCACUUGCAGCACGGCAGUUUCAGUCUGACAGUGGAUCAAAACAUACUGGCUUAAAAAUUAACCAGAGGGAGUCUGACCUGGCUUGGGAAGUUUAAGACAUUAGCACACAUAACAGGAUUUGAAUCGCUUCCACAGUUCUUGUUGUGUUAGCUGUGGAACUGGAUCUCCACGUUGUGUUUGGGGACUUUUUUUUUUUUUUUUUUUGUCUAGUGCUUCCCUCUACUCUCAAUUCCCUCUCCCCUCCUCUCCCCUUUCGUAAAAAUUUCCUAAUCAGGAUGCUUUUCUCAUUACAAUUUCUGAGAGUCUGACAUUAAAAAAUGUUUUAAAAUUCAUAGCACAUUGCCUGAUGCUAAACUUUGCUCAAUAAUAGACCAUUAGUUUACUUGCUGCAUGACUCUCUGAAUAGUUUGUACCAGUAAAUAUAACAAACUCAUGAUAAUUACUAUGUGCAACAUGUUUGCAUUCGAACAUGACCUUGAACUUACUUCUCAAGCAUUUUAGAAAUGCCAGUUAUUUUCAUGAUCCCUGUUCAUUACUGAAAGGAGUUUCUGGGUCUGAAUUGUGUAACUUACUUAUAUCUAUUAAAAAUGACACAGUAGAAGUAUUUUUAUUGUUUUAAACUUUUAAAACACUCUUAAAUCUCAAUAGCCCUCUGAGUCAUGCAAUCUUGUGACCACCUUGGCACUUUUCCAACCCAAAGGUCUAUUAAAAGCUUUGACAAAAGAAACCCUACUUUAAUUCAGAAGCAGUGACAUGAUCAGCCUGUAUGUUUGUUAACACCCUGCUAAAAAAUGAUGUAGUCAUACAGCAAAACAUUU